GCUCUACAGUCUUGAGGAGUGACAUCAAGAAAGACGUCUGUGUAAGGCAGGACACACUGCCUGUGGGUUUGUUGGCAUCCCAGAGGCCAGAGGAUGUUUGCCUUGUGGCCAGCAGAGGGCACUGUGGGGUGACCUGAGAGUGAGGGUGCUGGGCCUGACAGCUGGUCAACCACUCAGCUGGCCCCAGGGAAGUGGGGUCAAUGGUGUCCUCACUGAUGUGAGACUUUCCUGCACCUGUGAUGCACCCUAUGACCUCAAGAGCUCCUGCAUCUGGCACCCUCCACCCAUUCCAUCUGAAUUAGCUCACCUCCUCCUUUUCCUCUGUGUGGUCCUUGCUUUCCUCUGGUCCAAGCAAGGGCUCAUGGACAGAAGGAGCCAGAAAGUGCUUGCAUGGACUAUGCUGGCUCCCAGAGUGGAGCCUCAGAAGAAAGAGCUCUGAGGCCUCAUCAUCAGGCUCCCUAAGUUCUUGGACAGGGUUUAGGGAAAGGGGACCCUGGAAUACAGAGAACCUGCCUUUCUCCUCUUGGCCUCAGAGGACCAGGGUCCUGGCUGGGCUUGGCAAAGACUCCUGCUCACAGGGUGCUGUGAUGUCCUGGCAGCUGCUUCCCCCUGGGGAUCCCCCAAGAGGCACACUGUGUAGCCCUGCCCAUCAUCUGCCUCUAACCUCAAGACCCUCAGCUCAGGGAAAAUGGGGCAGAGAGAAGGUGGGGCCUAAUUUGCAUGACCAGCCCCUCUUUGCUGAGACCAAUAAGGAUGAAUAAGAGCAGCCCAGGUGCAUUGGGAGCUUCACAGACUGUGUCCACCAUGGCCUGGACACCUCUCCUCCUUGGGCUCCUCUCUUACUGCACAGGUUCCCUCUCCCAGCCUGUGCUGACCCAGCCACCCUCCCUCUCUGCAUCCCUGGGAACAUCUGUGAGACUCACCUGCACCCUCAGCAGUGGCUUCAGUGUUGGCAGCUAUACCAUAUCCUGGUACCAGCAGAAGCCAGGGAGCCCUCCCCAGUAUCUCCUGAGCUACUACUCAGACUCAAGCAAGCACCAGGGCUCCAGGGUCCCCAGCCGCUUCUCUGGCUCCAAGGAUGGUUUGGCCAAGGCAGGCCUUCUGCUCAUCUCUGGUCUGCAGCCUGAGGACGAGGCUGAAUAUUACUGUGCUAUUGCUCAUGGCAGUGGGAGCAGCUACAGUUCCUCACGGUGACUCAGAAGACGAGGAAGUGAGACAAAAACCCCAGGACCCACAGACCUUAGUUCUCUUUUCAAUGAGAGUCUGAGGAGGAGGCAUCUGUAGGGAGACGUCUGUGCACCAAGAUCUCUCCUUGAGUGGGGAAAUAAAAACACAGGUUAUGCCUGCAAAGUGAAACAGAACAGGACUUCUUAGGGAGACACAACCAGAUGAGGAAAUAGACCUUAUCUGCCUCAUAGGUACAGGAAUAAUUUAAUAAGAUUAGAUACUGUUGUCUCUAAAUGCUGACCAAUUCAGUCAUGUUCAUCCAUAAAUCUGUUCCUCAUCUUAUUUCUUAAAGUGUGAGUCUUGCGUUACUGGUGAUAGAACUGUAGCUGAUAUAUUUCUACUUCCCCUGGUCACAGACAUAUUUUCCACUCUAAGAACCAGCCCCAAACAACAAACUGAUCACAUCUUCCAUGACCACUCCCUGAUAAGAUCCCUCCAAAGCAUCCUCUCCUCUUCUGCUCAUCUGCUGCUGCAGUCCCUGAGGCCUUUCUGAGAUGUCCUUUUGGGGAUCUUCAGGUCUUUACUCCAUCUUCACUGAAUGUUUUCAGACAAAAAGAAAAUGUUGCAUUCUCCAGAAACUCCCUACUCCAUGGAGGAUAGUUACCAGGAUCUUAGACCAACAUACAGCUCUCCAUAUUCAUACUGCUACCAUCUGCCACAACAUCUGUUUAUCUGAUUCCCAUCAUCCUCAAUCAAACUCUUUAAUAUCUUAAU